AACGAACGCUGGCGGCAGGCCUAAUACAUGCAAGUCGAACGCGUGUAGCAAUACACGAGUGGCGCACGGGUGAGGAACACGUGGGAACCUACCCUCUGGUACGGAAUAACCCCGGGAAACUGGCGCUAAUACCGUAUGUCUCCUAAGGGAGAAAGAUUUAUCGCCGGAGGAGGGGCCCGCGUCCGAUUAGCUAGUUGGUGAGGUAACGGCUCACCAAGGCAACGAUCGGUAGCUGGUCUGAGAGGACGAUCAGCCACACUGGGACUGAGACGCGGCCCAGACUCCUACGGGAGGCAGCAGUAGGGAAUAUUGGACAAUGGGCGAAAGCCUGAUCCAGCCAUGCCGCGUGAGUGAUGAAGGCCUUCGGGUUGUAGAGCUCUUUUGGCGGGGACGAUGAUGACGGUACCCGCAGAAUAAGCCCCGGCUAACUUCGUGCCAGCAGCCGCCGUAA
rnacentral:rRNA from 1 species